rnacentral:rRNA from 1 species
GAUGAACGCUAGCUACAGGCUUAACACAUGCAAGUCGAGGGGCAGCAUGGUCUUAGCUUGCUAAGGCCGAUGGCGACCGGCGCACGGGUGAGUAACACGUAUCCAACCUGCCGUCUACUCUUGGACAGCCUUCUGAAAGGAAGAUUAAUACAAGAUGGCAUCAUGAGUCCGCAUGUUCACAUGAUUAAAGGUAUUCCGGUAGACGAUGGGGAUGCGUUCCAUUAGAUAGUAGGCGGGGUAACGGCCCACCUAGUCUUCGAUGGAUAGGGGUUCUGAGAGGAAGGUCCCCCACAUUGGAACUGAGACACGGUCCAAACUCCUACGGGAGGCAGCAGUGAGGUAGAUUGGUCAAUGGGCGAGAGCCUGAACCAGCCAAGUAGCGUGAAGGAUGACUGCCCUAUGGGUUGUAAACUUCUUUUAUAAAGGAAUAAAGUCGGGUAUGGAUACCCGUUUGCAUGUACUUUAUGAAUAAGGAUCGGCUAACUCCGUG